rnacentral:lncRNA from 1 species
UUUUUUUGGUUUUAGAUUCAUGAAUUUGGCCCACUUUUUCCUUGAGUCAAGGAUCUAUUGGAAACAACCUCUCUAUCCUCACAAGGUAGGGAUACGCAUAAGGUAUGCGUACACAGUACCCUCCAUGCGUACACAGUACCCUCCCAGACCCCACGGUGUGGGAUGAUACUGGGUUAUGUUGUUGUAAUUUGGCCCACUUAAUGUAUUUGCUGUGUGAUAAACAAUUAAAUUGCAGUUUUUAUGAACUGGCUUAGAUGUACCCAAGGGUGUGACAUAUUAAUCAGUGAAUUGGGUGAAAACUAUGGAGGUCAAGGUUCAAAUCCCAAUAGAGACAAAAAAAUGCUAGGUGAUUUCUUUCUUCCUAUAUGCCUAAUAAACUGGCUUAGAUACACCCAAGGGUGUGACAUAUUAAUCAGUGAAUUGGGUGAAAACUAUGGAGGUCAAGGUUCAAAUCCCAAUAGAACAAAAAAUGCUAGGUGAUUUCUCUCUUCCUAUAUGCCUAAGCCUUGGUGCGCAGAGUUACGGCACCUAUGCUAAUGGGAGAUAGCAGGUACCCUGUGGAAUAGUCAAUGUGAGCUCAAACUGGCCCAGAUAUAACCAUUAUUAAAAAUAUUUAAAUGAAUAAAGUGGGCUAGAUCUAUAAGUAUUUGCAACCCUUAUGUUUCGGUAAUGAAGGUUAGUCCAUUUCAUUGUCUUUGCUGAUUCAGUGUGUGUUUGAGUUAGUUUUAAUAUGGAAAACAUUACAGUGCUUUAGCUUUUACUAGAAUUUUUGUGAACCAUAAUCUUCUUUUCUGUCUUCUUUCUGAGAACUGGACAACAUUUCAACUUUGGUAUCUCUUGCUUGAAUAAGAAUGACCGAAAGGGAUAGUGGAGAGCUGUUGGAUCUGGUUUAAAAAUUGUAUGAAGAAAUGACUUGCAUCAAUGUUUCAUAUAUCUAACUUCCGCUUGGAGGCAACAACCUAGAACAUUGGCUGAAAAGUGUAACCAACACCUGUAAUAUCAGAGAUGUAUCAAUUCGAUGCAACAUAUAGCUCUAUGCGUGCUAAUGGACUGACAAUUCAACAGGAUUUGUGUAGUUGCUGCACUACCUGAGUCAUGAAUAAUCUCCAAAAGUUUUCCUUGUCUUCCCCCCCCUCCUUUAAAGCUCUUGUGGUAUGAGUAAUUUCUACUUCUGUGUUUCAC